rnacentral:lncRNA from 1 species
AGAGGUAUUUGUGGUGGGUGGUGAUGCUAAAACGCUCGACACAAUCACGUCAAUCUUUACAACAAAUGGUAUUACCUUCAAGUGUACCGAUUGUGUCAAAGAUUUGGGUGUCCUGCUGGAUGGAAAGCUGUCAUUUGUAUCGCAUGUAAAUGCUUUCACUAAGUCGUGCUUCCUUCAAUUAAGAAGCAUAGCUAAAAUGCGGCGAUUCCUUUGUAGACGGGAUUCAAGGAAGGCUUUUUUGCAGAGGCCCAAAUCAAAAGGAGGAAUGGGAUUGCCAAAUUUUCAGUUUUAUUACUGGGCGAGUAUUAUAAGAAUAAUGGCCUACUGGCUACAAGACAACUUAGAAAGAGCAUGCUGUUAUCCUUCUUCACUUUCAGCUCUACUGUUUUUGCCUUUACCUACUAUGUGUCUUGAUCCAUUGGAUAAUCCAGUGGUUUUGCACACACUCAGGAUUUCGUCUCAGAUUCAAGGGUUUUUCGGUUGGCAAGUUGGUUCUCUCCAAAGCACUAUUACUAAAAAUCAUUUAUUUGCUCCCUCAUUUCAAAAUACUAUAUUUGAUGAUUGGGUUGGAAAAGGAAUUUAUAGCUUUUCAGACAUGUUUAUUGACAAAGUAUUUCCAUCAUUUGAACAGCUACAAAGCAAAUACAACAUACCUCGGUCAAACUUUUUUGAAUAUUUACAGGUACGAAAUUUUAUUAUACAAAAUAAUCCAUUAUACCCCAACUUGCCAAAUCAAUCUGUAAUGGAACUGAUACUGACACAUGAUCCUUACAAGAAAGGGGGUAUUUCAUAUAUAUAUGAAACGCUAUUCCAGUUGACAAGAAUACCAACUUUAGAACACUUAAAGUCUUCCUGGGAGGAAGAUUUGGGUGUAGAAAUUGCAGAAGAACAGUGGGAGGCAGCCCUUAAACAGAUUCAUAGCUUAUUGGUGUGUGCUAGACAUGGCUUCUUACAAUUCAAAAUAAUACAUCGUUUACACUGGUCUAAACAAAAACUGAACAGGAUAUUUCCAGAUAUAGACCCUUCAUGUGACCGUUGUGGGCUUGCGCCAGCUUCAUUGGCCCGUAUGUUUUGGAGCUGCCCUAAAUUGUCAGCAUACUGGAAAGGUGUUUUUUUGAUGUUGUCAAGAAUAUUCCAAAGGCCUAUUGAUCUAGACCCCCUGGUGGCGAUUCUAGGUAUAGUAGAAUCCGAGAUAGUAAAAAACAGUGCUGAACACAGUAUGGUCUCAUUUGUCAAUUUACUAGCACGGAGAUUAAUAUUAUUAAAUUGGAAACAUAAAUCUGCCCCUACACAUAUAAAUUUAAUGAGAGAGGUAAUGAAGUAUUUGGAGCUAGAGACAAUUAGGUUCUCCUUGAAAAAGAAAGAAGAAAAAUUUUAUAGAAUUUGGCAACCCUUCAUAGAUUAUUUCAAGGAGAUUAAUUCUACAGGUGACAGCUAAACAAUACAACCCCUUAAUAUACAGUGAUCAAAGUAAGAAGUGGAUUUAAUGAAUAUAUGAGGUAUUUAAUAGCCUAAUGCCCCCUGCC